CUAUAUGUAUUAAGGCAAUUUGCCUGGAUUUGUGGGAGGUGCUGGUUUGCUACCCCUAGCCUACUUAAGGCACGCCCCUUACCUGGCUCCUUACCGUUCGAGGUCAGCGUUGAAUGAGGAUCCACUUCCGGGUUCUCUCAGACGCCAUCUUGGGUUCAGUAUCCACAAGGUUUUCACCACGUUAGCUGUGUCCAGGAAUCCUGUUCAGGCCUUUCUGCCCGUCCAGCUCCUUCUGACUCCGGUCUUCGUCGUAGAUCGCGUCCCAGGGACUCCUAAACCGUAAGUCAGACCUACCUGUCAUGCCAGGACCGGUUCCCACGGCGUACGGUACAGCACGGGUCCUCGCUUUACGGUUUUUCCCUGGUUAUGACACGAAUGUUUCAAGCUGUUCGCGGGCUUUUUCAUUCAUACGGUCAUUCGGCUGAACAGUUUACUCGUUCAAUAGUCAUUUCACAUAUCAACUAUUUCAUGUUACAUUGAAACGAAUUAUCACUCGGUUGUUUUGCCGUUCUGCAAUUUUCAUAUACGCUCAAACACGCUUCGGUUCGCAUAAGUUCAUAUGGUUAAACUGUUCUAACUUCUGUGUUUCCCUCACAUUUGUUUUCGGCUUUAUUUCUAUGUAUUACGCAUAAUCCUUUCAUGAAUUAUAUUCACUAUUUCGUAUGUAUAUAACGUUCGGUUAAGAAUUGCUUGUUUAAAUAGAUAGAUUAUUUCUAUUACUUUUUAAAUAUUGUCAGUAUUGUAUUACGUCCAUACAAAUCAAGUCCACUUAUCUGUAUAGACCAUUUGACUCCCACGCUUUCAGGGGUCUGCAUUACUUAUCCAUCCAUACAAAUGGACUCAGCCUAUGUUACAGGCCUCAUUUCUGUGUUAUUACUAUAACACAUACAAAGGAUACAGGUUCAUUUAAGCAAUAAUUCUCGG